UACGCAGGCGGCUUGGUAAGACAGAUGUGAAAUCCCCGGGCCUAACCUGGGAACUGCAUUUGUGACUGCCAUGGCUCGAGUCUGUCAGAGGGGGGUGGAAUUCCACGUGUAGCAGUGAAAUACGUAGAGAUGUGGAGGAACACCGAUGGCGAAGGCAGCCCCCUGGGAUGAGACUGACGCUCAUGUACGAAAGCGUGGGGAGCAAACAGGAUUAGAUACCCUGGUAGUCCACGCCCUAAACGAUGUCGACUAGUUGUCGGGAAUUCAUUUUCUCGGUAACGCAGCUAACGCGUGAAGUCGACCGCCUGGGGAGUACGGUCGCAAGAUUAAA
rnacentral:rRNA from 1 species